CCCACCGCGUCACUCGCGCGAAGGUCACUUCAAACGACAAGGGACCCGGGCGCUCUUUGCCUCUCCGUCCACCGUGUGAAUUGCGUGCUCCGCCGGACUUCGGGAUAACCGCUCGGUCGGCUUCAUAACUCCCACCGCACGGGUCGCCUCCGCGCGGCGGCGAGGAGGGCUCCACGACGGAGACCAGUGCGUGCGGGUGGGCGGGCGGGCUCAUCUUUUAUCGUGCGCCCGCACUGAGCGGAUCGCUGCUCCCAAAUCGCAGACCCCAGGGCGCGCGUUGCUUCCCCGGCGCAGCGCAGGAUGUCGGAUUCGCAGGCCGUCGCCGGCGGCGAGUCUCCCGCCGAGCUUCUGCUCCGCGCGGCGGCGAUGGCGCCCGCGGAGCGCUACGCGCUCGCCGCCGUCGCCGUCGUGUCGGUCUUCCUGUACCGCUUCCUCGAGCUCCACGUCAUCGGCGACGCCCUCCGCGGCUUUCGGGGCGGCCGCGUCGAGCUCACCUUCCACCCGGCCUCGGAGAUCUACCACCGCGUCGCGUCCAAGUGCCGCUCCCUCCACGGCAGGUACCUGGCGACACCAUGGCUGGCAAGCCCGCAUCUGCAGACAUUGUUCCUCGGCAUCUCUGGGAGGCCUCCAUCAUUCACGUACAAGAGACAACUGUACACAGUCCGGGAUGGUGGAACCAUUGCUCUGGAUUGGCUUCUUGCCUCUGAUCUGGAAGAUGCAGACGGUUUUAUUUCUAAAGAUGAUUCAACACCUCUUGUAGUUGUGGUUCCCGGAUUAACUAGUGAUUCUGCUGCUGCUUAUGUAAAACACUUGGUUUAUUCUAUAGCAAGCAAAGGAUGGAAUGUUGUCGUAAGCAACCACAGAGGUCUUGGUGGUGUGUCCAUUACUUCAGAUUGUUUCUACAAUGGCGGUUGGACUGAAGAUGUCCGAGAGGUCAUUAAUUACCUCCAUCACAGAUACCCACAGACCCCACUGUUCUGCAUUGGUACAAGCAUAGGUGCCAAUAUUGUGGCCAAGAAUCAGCACGAUCUAUUUUUACAAGAAGCUGGUUGACACAGUCCAUUCUUCAUAAUCUUUCUCCACAUAUGUUACGGAUAUAUUUCCAAGAGAAGUACUGAAUGAGGUCAAGUAUCUUGGAGAAGAAGGCGAAAAUACUCCCGUGGCUGGAGCAGUGUCUAUUUGUUCUCCAUGGGAUCUGUUGAUUGGUGACAGAUUUAUUUCCCGCAAGUUUGUGCAACGUAUUUAUGACAAAGCACUUGCAAUUGGUCUGAAGGGCUAUGCAAAGCUACAUCAACCUAUCUUGGCCCGACUUGCAAAUUGGGAAGGUAUUAAAAAGUCACGAUCUAUCCGGGAAUUCGACCACCAUGCUACCUGUGUUGUUGCAAGAUAUGAGACGGUGGAUACCUACUACCGCCGGUGCAGCAGCGCUAGUUAUGUUGGCAACGUGUCAGUUCCCUUGCUUUGUAUCAAUGCUUUGGAUGAUCCCCUUUGCACAAGGGAGGCUAUACCUUGGGAUGAAUGCAGGGCCAAUAAGAACAUUGUUUUGGCAACUACUCCAAAUGGUGGCCAUCUUGCAUUCUUUCAAGGACUAACUGCUGGAAGAUUAUGGUGGGUUGGAGCUGCUUCUGAGUUCCUCUUUGCUCUUCAUGAAAGCUCUUACAUGCAUCGGCAGAAGGCAAAUGAUCAUGUUUUGCACUCUUCUUUGGAAUCAUCUAUUGAUAAGAGCCCAUAUGUUAAUAUCAUGGAAGAUGGAAUGGUAGCUCCAGUAACAAAAGAUGGCCCUGGCAAUAAUGAUGGCUCACCUUCUGACCAUGAGGUUGGAGUACAGUUAAGUAACGGGGUGGAUGGCAGACAACAGUUAGAAGUAUCUGGCGAGAAACACAAUGAACACGUCAGUGGAUCAGGGAACGAAAGCCCUGCUGGUUCAGCAAAUCGGCAAGGAGAUGGCAUCUACAGUAAUAAGCUUCAUGAGAUAAUUGCUCCCGUCAAGAGAUCCAUAAACCAACUGACACGGCACCAACGGAAGUCAAUCUGGUUGCUUGCCUACAUUGCUUUUGUAACAUCAUGGCCGCUCCUCGGCUCCCUAGCUUUUAUCACCUUUCGGAAGAAGUUCAGAAAUCCAUUGCGAGCUAAAUGACUAACAGGAUAAACAAACCCUACUUGUAUUGAUUUCGACUGCGUCAUUCAAAACAUUAGAAACCUGAAGGCCUGUACAUCCAUUUGAUUUGUUCAGUUAAGCCUAUAUGUCCAGGAUAUAAGCUGUCCUGCUCAUGGUACAUGUACACAUCCAAAUAAUUUCACUUGCGUCACGAAGAAAAGCUUGUAUUCAUCUGCUCAAUGGAAUCUGGUGUAAGAAACAUGUAGAUGGGGAGCAUAUUUUUUUCCAAAUUUAAAUGACUUUCUGUCAA